UACGGGAGGCAGCAGUGGGGAAUCUUGGACAAUGGGCGCAAGCCUGAUCCAGCCAUGCCGCGUGUGUGAUGAAGGCCUUAGGGUCGUAAAGCACUUUCGCCAGAGAUGAUAAUGACAGUAUCUGGUAAAGAAACCCCGGCUAACUCCGUGCCAGCAGCCGCGGUAAUACGGAGGGGGUUAGCGUUGUUCGGAAUUACUGGGCGUAAAGCGCACGUAGGCGGACUAGUCAGUCAGAGGUGAAAUCCCAGGGCUCAACCCUGGAACUGCCUUUGAUACUGCUAGUCUUGAGUUCGAGAGAGGUGAGUGGAAUUCCGAGUGUAGAGGUGAAAUUCGUAGAUAUUCGGAGGAACACCAGUGGCGAAGGCGGCUCACUGGCUCGAUACUGACGCUGAGGUGCGAAAGUGUGGGGAGCAAACAGGAUUAGAUACCCUGGUAGUCCACACCGUAAACGAUGAAUGCCAGUCGUCGGGUAGUAUACUAUUCGGUGACACACCUAACGGAUUAAGCAUUCCGCCUGGGGAGUACGGUCGCAAGAUUAAAACUCAAAGGAAUAGACGGGGACCCGCACAAGCGGUGGAGCAUGCGGUUUAAUUCGACGAUACGCGAAGAACCUUACCUGGACUUGACAUAGUAAGAACUUAUAAGAGAUUAUGAGGUGUCUGCUUGCAGAAGCUUAUAUACAGGUGCUGCACGGCUGUCGUCAGCUCGUGUCGUGAGAUGUUGGGUUAAGUCCCGCAACGAGCGCAACCCUCGUCGUUAGUUGCUAACAGUUCGGCUGAGAACUCUAACGAGACUGCCUGGGUAACCAGGGGGAAGGUGAGGACGACGUCAAGUCAUCAUGGCCCUUACGUCCAGGGCUACACACGUGCUA
rnacentral:rRNA from 1 species